AGUCUUUUAAAUGGUGACUUGUAUGAAUGAUUGGAUGAAAUAUAUACUGUCUCUUUAUUAUAAAUAGAAUUUAAUAUUUUAAUUAAAAAGUUAAAAUAUUAUUAAAAGACGAGAAGACCCCAUAGAGUUUUAUAUAAUUAGGAUAAUUUAUUAUUACUAUGAAAAUUUAAUAUAAAUUAUUUUAUUAUAUUUUGUUGGGGUGAUAGAAAAAUAAAUAAAACUUUUUUUUAUUAUAUUAACAUAUAUAAGUGAUUAUUUGAUCCAAAAUUUUUGAUUAUAAGAAAAAAUUACCUUGGGGAUAACAGCGUAAUUUUUUUUUUUAGUUCAAAUAAAAAAAAAAGUUUGCGACCUCGAUUUUGGAUUAANAUAAAAUUUAAAUGC
rnacentral:rRNA from 1 species